UACGUAGGGGGCAAGCGUUGUCCGGAUUUAUUGGGCGUAAAGAGCGUGUAGGCGGUCAGGUAGGUCCGUUGUGAAAACUCGAGGCUCAACCUCGAGACGCCGAUGGAAACCAUCUGACUAGAGUCCGGAAGAGGAGAGUGGAAUCCUGGUGUAGCGGUGAAAUGCGCAGAUAUCAGGAGGAACACCCGUGGCGAAAGCGGCUCUCUGGGACGGUACUGACGCUGAGACGCGAAAGCGUGGGGAGCAAACAGG
rnacentral:rRNA from 1 species